rnacentral:rRNA from 1 species
CCAGACUCCUACGGGAGGCAGCAGUGGGGAAUAUUGGGCAAUGGGCGCAAGCCUGACCCAGCAACGCCGCGUGAAGGAAGAAGGCUUUCGGGUUGUAAACUUCUUUUCUUGGGGACGAAGAAAGUGACGGUACCCAAGGAAUAAGCCACGGCUAACUACGUGCCAGCAGCCGCGGUAAUACGUAGGUGGCAAGCGUUAUCCGGAUUUAUUGGGUGUAAAGGGCGUGUAGGCGGGAAUGCAAGUCAGAUGUGAAAACUAUGGGCUCAACCCAUAGCCUGCAUUUGAAACUGUAUUUCUUGAGUGCUGGAGAGGCAAUCGGAAUUCCGUGUGUAGCGGUGAAAUGCGUAGAUAUUAGGAGGAACACCAGUGGCGAAGGCGACUUACUGGACUGUAACUGACGUUGAGGCACGAAAGUGUGGGGAGCAAACAGGAUUAGAUACCCCCGUAC